AUUCCAGCUCCAAUAGCGUAUAUUAAUGUUGUUGCAGUUAAAAAGCUCGUAGUUGGAUUUCUGGUCGGGACGUCUGGCCGGCUCCGCAAGGGGCCGUUGCAUUGACUGUACUCGUCCAUCCUCAGGUUGACUAGCUCUGGUAUUUAUUUAUCGGUGUUAGAACGCCUGUCGUUUACUGUGAACAAAUUAGAGUGUUCAAAGCAAGGUGUACUUGAAUACAUUAGCAUGGAAUAAUAAGAUAGGACUUUGGUGGUUCUUUUUGAUAUUUUGUUGGUUUGCACGCCAAAGUAAUGAUUAAUAGGAGCAGUUGGGGGUAUUCGUAUUCAAUUGUCAGAGGUGAAAUUCUUGGAUUUAUAGAAGACGAACUACUGCGAAAGCAUUUACCAAGGAUGUUUUCAUUA
rnacentral:rRNA from 1 species